UCCGUAGGUGAACCUGCGGAAGGAUCAUUACUGAUUUGCUUAAUUGCACCACAUGUGUUUUUUAUUGAACAAAUUUCUUUGGUGGCGGGAGCAAUCCUACCGCCAGAGGUUAUAACUAAACCAAACUUUUUAUUUACAGUCAAACUUGAUUUAUUAUUACAAUAGUCAAAACUUUCAACAACGGAUCUCUUGGUUCUCGCAUCGAUGAAGAACGCAGCGAAAUGCGAUACGUAAUAUGAAUUGCAGAUAUUCGUGAAUCAUCGAAUCUUUGAACGCACAUUGCGCCCUUUGGUAUUCCAAAGGGCAUGCCUGUUUGAGCGUCAUUUCUCCCUCAAACCCCCGGGUUUGGUGUUGAGCAAUACGCUAGGUUUGUUUGAAAGCGUGGAAACUUAUUUUAAGCGACUUAGGUUUAUCCAAAACGCUUAUUUUGCUAGUGGCCACCACAAUUUAUUUCAUAACUUUGACCUCAAAUCAGGUAGGACUACCCGCUGAACUUAAGCAUAUCAAUAAGCGGAGGAA
rnacentral:rRNA from 1 species